GUUUGCAGCUUGUGUCCAGAGUAGCAGACAGCCAUGGCCCCGCGGGCCUGGCGCUGACAGACCCUGGAGCGGUGUCUCACAGAGGUCGGCAAAGCCACCGGCUGGCACCAGUGCAUCCUCACGAUUCAAGAUGGACUGGCAUCAAAGUUCACUUCUUUAACAAAAGUACUUUAUGACUUUAAUAAAAUUAAUUAGAGAAUAGUGGGAUCCGUGGAAGCCCUUUAUAAAAACUUGUGAUAGAAAGUUUUGAUGAUGAGCAGACUUUACAACAACUGGAAAUGCGAAAUGAACCAAUUUUACAACACUUCCAAAAUGCAGUUAGUGAAACGCAGAUGAAGAUAUCAGUCUUCUCCCAGAGAGUGAAGAACAGAAGCAUGAAGAGGCUGGUUCAGAGACAGAGGCUGGUGGCCAGGAGGACCUAGAAGAUUUAGAGGAGAAAGAGGAAGUGUCAGAUAUGGGUGGUUACAAUCCUGAGGUGGGUAAGAAAGCUAAAAACUCAACAAAUUUGAACUGAGGAAAAGCCCAGCUUUCAGUGAUGUGGAUUCUGACCUUGACUUUGAUAUCAACAGAUUGGAACAGCAGAGCAAGGUGCAAAACAAAGGACUUGGAAAACCAAGAGAAAAGUCCACAGUAGACGAGAAAUUCUCCCAACUCUCUGAAAUGGAGGCCUAUUUAGAAAACAGAAAAAGAAGAGGAACGAAAAGAUGAUAAUGAUGAUGAGGUGGAAGAUACUGAUUUUUUUUUUUUGAAGAUAUUGAUUCUGGUGAAGAUGAAGGGGGACUGUUUGGAAGUAAAAAUACUUAAGGUAAAUCAGAUGAAAGUUCCAGAAAUGUGAGGUACAAAGAUUUUUUUGAUCCAGUUGAAAGUGAUGAAGACACAGCAAGUGAUCAUGAUGAUGAGCUGGGUUCAAACAAGAUGAUGAAAUUGCUGAAGAAGCAGCAGAAGAACUAAGCAUUUCUGAAAUGAAUGAAGAUGAUGACCUGGAAGAAAGGGAAGACAGUAAACAAUGUAAAUAAAGCUUGAAGAGAGUGACCUUUACUUUGCCAUAUCAUGACACAACUGAAGAUGCAGGUGUUUUAAAUGUAAAGAAAAAUUCUGAUGAAGUUAAAUCCUGUUUUGAAAAAAGACAGGAAAAAGUAAUUAGGAAUUUAAGGACAUUUUACACCAGGUGCGGUGGCUCAUACCUGUAA